CACUCCUGCGGGAGGCAGCAGUGGGGAAUUUUGGACAAUGGGCGAAAGCCUGAUCCAGCAAUGCCGCGUGAGUGAAGAAGGCCUUCGGGUUGUAAAGCUCUUUUGUCAGGGAAGAAACGGUGAGAGCUAAUAUCUUUUGCUAAUGACGGUACCUGAAGAAUAAGCACCGGCUAACUACGUGCCAGCAGCCGCGGUAAUACGUAGGGUGCAAGCGUUAAUCGGAAUUACUGGGCGUAAAGCGUGCGCAGGCGGUUUUGUAAGUCUGAUGUGAAAUCCCCGGGCUCAACCUGGGAAUUGCAUUGGAGACUGCAAGGCUAGAAUCUGGCAGAGGGGGGUAGAAUUCCACGUGUAGCAGUGAAAUGCGUAGAUAUGUGGAGGAACACCGAUGGCGAAGGCAGCCCCCUGGGUCAAGAUUGACGCUCAUGCACGAAAGCGUGGGGAGCAAACAGGAUUAGAUACCCCUGUAGUCCC
rnacentral:rRNA from 1 species